AAACAUAGCUAGUAGAAUAUUAAUUACUAGUGAUACCUGCCUAGCGAAAAAUUUUUAGCGGCCGCAGUACUCUGACUGUGCAAAGGUAGCAUAAUCAUUUGGCUUUUAAUUGGAGUCUCGCAUGAACGGAUAAACGUAUACAUACUGUCUUAAAUAAAAAUCUAUAAAAAUUAAUUAAGGAGGUGAAAAUACCUCUAUUAAACAAAAAAGACGAGAAGACCCUUAGAAUUUUUAGAAUAAAUAAUUCAAUUUAUUUGGUUUUUUGUUGGGGCAACAACUUUUCAAGUAAAACAAAAGUAGAAAUAUAUAACAUAACAAGUAAAAUUAAUUAAGUAUAAAUUACCUAAGGGAUAACAGCAUAAUUAUAUUAUUAGAUUGUGACCUCGAUGUUGGAUUAGGGGUUAUUAAGGCUAGAGGUUUUAAUAAAAUUAGUUCUGUUCGAACAUUAUCCCCUA
rnacentral:rRNA from 1 species